rnacentral:rRNA from 1 species
GACAGAGGGGGCAAGCGUUGCUCGGAAUUACUGGGCGUAAAGGGCGCGUAGGCGGGCUGGCAAGUCGGUCGUGAAAUCCCUCGGCUCAACCGAGGAACGUCGAUCGAUACUGCUGUUCUUGAGGAUUGCAGAGGAGACUGGAAUUCCCGGUGUAGCGGUGAAAUGCGUAGAUAUCUGGAGGAACACCGGUGGCGAAGGCGGCGUCCUGGACCAACACUGACACUGAUGAGCGAAAGCCAGGGGAGCAAACGGG